GUCCUUAGUUACCAGCACGUUAUGUGGGCACUCUAAGGAGACUGCCGGUGACAAACCGGAGGAAGGUGGGGAUGACGUCAAGUCAUCAUGGCCCUUACGGCCUGGGCUACACACGUGCUACAAUGGUCGGUACAAAGGGUUGCCAAGCCGCGAGGUGGAGCUAAUCCCAUAAAACCGAUCGUAGUCCGGAUCGCAGUCUGCAACUCGACUGCGUGAAGUCGGAAUCGCUAGUAAUCGUGAAUCAGAAUGUCACGGUGAAUACGUUCCCGGGCCUU
rnacentral:rRNA from 1 species